UAGGGAAUCUUCCGCAAUGGGCGAAAGCCUGACGGAGCAACGCCGCGUGAGUGAUGAAGGUCUUCGGAUCGUAAAACUCUGUUAUUAGGGAAGAACAAAUGUGUAAGUAACUAUGCACGUCUUGACGGUACCUAAUCAGAAAGCCACGGCUAACUACGUGCCAGCAGCCGCGGUAAUACGUAGGUGGCAAGCGUUAUCCGGAAUUAUUGGGCGUAAAUCGCGCGUAGGCGGUUUUUUAAGUCUGAUGUGAAAGCGCACGGCUCAACCGUGGAGGGUCAUUGGAAACUGGAAAACUUGAGUGCAGAAGAGGAAAGUGGAAUUCCAUGUGUAGCGGUGAAAUGCGCAGAGAUAUGGAGGAACACCAGUGGCGAAGGCGACUUUCUGGUCUGUAACUGACGCUGAUGUGCGAAAGCGUGGGGAUCAAACAGG
rnacentral:rRNA from 1 species